rnacentral:rRNA from 1 species
GACGAACGCUGGCGGCGUGCCUAAUACAUGCAAGUCGAGCGGGGAAGCGGGCUCUGACCUUCGGGUCAAAGCCUGCACUCCCAGCGGCGAACGGGUGAGUAACACGUGGGUAACCUGCCCUGCAGUUUGGGAUAACUUCGGGAAACCGGAGCUAAUACCGAAUAAUUCUCCUGAACGCAUGUUUAGGAGCUGAAAGAUGGCGCGAGCUAUCGCUGCAGGAUGGGCCCGCGGCGCAUUAGCUAGUUGGUGGGGUAACGGCUCACCAAGGCGACGAUGCGUAGCCGACCUGAGAGGGUGAUCGGCCACACUGGGACUGAGACACGGCCCAGACUCCUACGGGAGGCAGCAGUAGGGAAUCUUCCGCAAUGGACGCAAGUCUGACGGAGCGACGCCGCGUGAGUGAAGAAGGCCUUCGGGUCGUAAAACUCUGUUGUUAGGGAAGAACAAGUACGAGAGUCACUGCUCGUACCUUGACGGUACCUAACGAGGAAGCCCCGGCUAACUAC